rnacentral:rRNA from 1 species
GACGAACGCUGGCGGCGUGCUUAACACAUGCAAGUCGAACGGAAAGGCCCUGCUUUUGUGGGGUGCUCGAGUGGCGAACGGGUGAGUAACACGUGAGUAACCUGCCCUUGACUUUGGGAUAACUUCAGGAAACUGGGGCUAAUACCGGAUAGGAGCUCCUGCUGCAUGGUGGGGGUUGGAAAGUUUCGGCGGUUGGGGAUGGACUCGCGGCUUAUCAGCUUGUUGGUGGGGUAGUGGCUUACCAAGGCUUUGACGGGUAGCCGGCCUGAGAGGGUGACCGGCCACAUUGGGACUGAGAUACGGCCCAGACUCCUACGGGAGGCAGCAGUGGAGAAUAUUGCACAAUGGGCGGAAGCCUGAUGCAGCAACGCCGCGUGCGGGAUGACGGCCUUCGGGUUGUAAACCGCUUUCGCCUGUGAGGAAGCGUGAGUGACGGUAAUGGGUAAAGAAGCACCGGCUAACUACGUG